UCCCUCCCACACGCUAUGUUGGGUGCUCUGCCAGAGUCGCCGCCGCGCCUCUCCUCGUUCUCUUCGUCCUCGCCAAUGGAGCUCUCGCUUGCCUCCGCGAAGCCCUCGCCUCGCGCCGCCGCGGCGGCGGCCGCGGCCGCGGCGUCCACCUCGUCGCUGGCGUGCUCGUCGGCGGGGUGGGCGAGGGGGAGGAGCGGGAGGAGGCGCGUGGGGGUGGCGGUGUGUGCGGCGGCGGGGGAGGAGGUGUUCGGGGGGAGGAGGGAGCUGGCGGGGGUGCAGCCGCUGGUGGAGGCGCUGCCGCCCGCGGCGAGGGCGGCGGUGGAGCUGGCGGUGGUCGCCGCCGCGGCGGCGGCCGGGUACGCGGCCGGGCUCCGCGCCGGGGGCACGCGCACCACGGCGGUCGCGGGCGCGGCCGCGCUCGGGGCGGCCAGCGUCGCCGGGGCCGCGGCGGUGAACUCCGCGGUGCCCGGGGUCGCCGCCGCGGGGCUGCACAACUACGUCGCCGGCUGCGACGACCCCACCAAGCUGGAGAGCAGCGAGGUGGAGGCCAUCGCGAGCAAAUACGGCGUUAGCACCGAGGAUGCAACCUUCAAAGCAGAGCUCUAUGAUCUGUAUGGCAGGUUUGUUUUCUCACUAAUUCAACCAGGAUAUGAAGACCUUGAAGGUACUGAGGUUGAGGAUAUUAUAAAGUUUAAAAGUGCGCUUGGAUUGAACGAUUUAGAUGCUGCAAAUGUUCACAUGGAGAUUGGUAAACGCAUUGAUCGCGAUGCUGGCAUAGGACAACAACAGGCAUUUCAAAAGCUAAUAUUUGUAACCAAUCUAGUCUUUCGGGAUGCAUCAGAAUUCCUGCUUCCAUGGAAACGUCUUUUCGGGGUCCAUGAAUCUCAGAUAGAUAAUGUUAUGCGGGAAAGUGCAAAGAGUUUAUAUGCAUCACUGCUCAAGUCUAUUGGGAGAGGUCUUGACAUAGGCACAUUAAUUGAAGUAAGGAGAGCACAACUAGCAUAUAAACUUUCUGACGAGAUUGCUGCUGAGAUGUUCAGGGAGCAUGCAAAGAAGUUACUUGAAGAAAAUAUUUCAUCCGCCUUGGACAACUUGAAUAACCGAACACAGGUUGUUGAUGAAGUGAAAAGCAUCCUUGCAUUUAAUAGUUUGCUUACAAUACUGAGCAAGUUCCCGGGAGAAGAAAGAUUUAUUCGUGGGCUUGGGCCUAUUACAUUAGGUGGAGACAGUGAUCAUGAUAAGAGGGUUGAGGAUCUAAAGAUGCUCUAUAGCGCCUAUGCGGUGGAGGCACUUUCAGAUGGGCGUCUUGACGAUGAUAAGCUUGCUGCUUUGGAUCAACUAAGGAAUAUAUUUGGACUGGGGAAGUAUGAAGCAGAAGCAAUCAUCUCAGAUGCCAAGGCUCGAGUAUUUCAGACUUACUAAAUUCUUUAACGGAAGAUAUAUUAGGUCAGAAUGGCAGCUGGGAGAACUGGAAUCUGCAUGACAGCUUGGUUCGGCAGCUCGAGACAGAACAGCUUCACUUUACUCUUGUUCCUGUUAGUGCCGCCACCUUGUGAUGGAAUGCUCUACACAGCAAGAGGAACGGGAUCAGCGACAGAGAGAAGACAAAUGUUGUUGGACCAAAAGUACUAUUGUCCCAUACGGCUGUCAUCACCUUACACUAUUUUUCAAAGUAUUCGGUUAGGAAUGACAGUCUAUGGUUUUUAAUUUUCCCGGUAGGUACAUAUUUCGGAAUUACUACUUUCUCCGUCUCA